UCUGUGAGCAGAUUCAUGACAGACCCAGGGCCUUGGAUGGAUCUGCCUGAGGGAAGACCAGACAGGUGUGACGCUGGUCUACAAGGAAGGCUAAUGUGGGUGAAGCACCAUCUUGGAGCUGAAGUUUGAGCCAUGGCCGCCGCCAUUGCUGCAGCCGGGGCUGGGGAGCCUCUGUCCCCCGAAGAGUUGCUCCUGAAAGCAGAGGCAGAGAAAGCAGAGGAGGAGCUGGAAGACGACGACGAUGACGAGCUAGAUGAGACCCUAUCGGAGAGACUCUGGGGUCUGCCGGAGAUGUUUCCCGAGAGGGUCCGGUCAGCCGCCAGAGCCACCUUUGAUCUCUCGCUCUUCGUGGCUCAGAAGAUGUACAGAUUUUCCAGGGCAGCUUUGUGGAUUGGGACCACUUCCUUCAUGAUCCUGGUUCUUCCUGUUGUCUUUGAGACAGAAAAGUUGCAAAUGGAGCAACAACAGCAACUGCAGCAACGGCAGAUACUUUUAGGGCCUAACACAGGGCUGUCAGGAGGAAUGCCAGGGGCUCUACCUCCACUUCCCGGAAAGAUCUAGAUUCUUACGUCCAUAUUUGUCCUUGUGUGAGAACUCUGAAAUUCAUUUGUGUUUGAAC